UACGAAGGGGGCUAGCGUUGCUCGGAAUUACUGGGCGUAAAGCGCGCGUAGGCGGGUCGUUAAGUCGGGGGUGAAAUCCUGGAGCUCAACUCCAGAACUGCCUUCGAUACUGGAGAGCUCGAGUCCGGGAGAGGUGAGUGGAACUGCGAGUGUAGAGGUGAAAUUCGUAGAUAUUCGCAAGAACACCAGUGGCGAAGGCGGCUCACUGGCCCGGUACUGACGCUGAGGUGCGAAAGCGUGGGGAGCAAACAGG
rnacentral:rRNA from 1 species